rnacentral:rRNA from 1 species
GACGAGCGCUGGCGGCGUGCCUAAUACAUGCAAGUAGAACGCUGAAGGAGGAGCUUGCUUCUCUGGAUGAGUUGCGAACGGGUGAGUAACGCGUAGGUAACCUGCCUGGUAGCGGGGGAUAACUAUUGGAAACGAUAGCUAAUACCGCAUAAUAUUGACUAUUGCAUGAUAGUCAGUUGAAAGGUGCAACUGCACCACUACCAGAUGGACCUGCGUUGUAUUAGCUAGUUGGUGGGGUAACGGCUCACCAAGGCGACGAUACAUAGCCGACCUGAGAGGGUGAUCGGCCACACUGGGACUGAGACACGGCCCAGACUCCUACGGGAGGCAGCAGGAGGGAAUCUUCGGCAAUGGACGGAAGUCUGACCGAGCAACGCCGCGUGAGUGAAGAAGGUUUUCGGAUCGUAAAGCUCUGUUGUAAGAGAAGAACGAGUGUGAGAGUGGAAAGCUCACACUGUGACGGUAUCUUACCAGAAAGGGACGGCUAACUACGUG